rnacentral:rRNA from 1 species
CCUACGUGAGGCAGCAGUGGGGAAUAUUGCACAAUGGGGGAAACCCUGAUGCAGCGACGCCGCGUGAGUGAAGAAGUAUUUCGGUAUGUAAAGCUCUAUCAGCAGGGAAGAAAUAGCGACCUUUGGGUCGCCAGACGGUACCUGAUUCAGAAGCCACGGCUAACUACGUGCCAGCAGCCGCGGUAAUACGUAGGGGGCAAGCGUUAUCCGGAUUUACUGGGUGUAAAGGGGACGUAGACGGCAGCGCAAGUCUGAAGUGAAAUGCCUGGACUUAACCCCGGAACUGCUUUGGAAACUGGGCAGCUAGAGUGGAGGAGAGGUAAGUGGAAUUCCAAGUGUAGCGGUGAAAUGCGUAGAUAUUAGGAGGAACACCAGUGGCGAAGGCGGCUUACUGGACUGUAACUGACGUUGAGGCUCGAAAGCGUGGGGAGCAAACAGGAUUAGAUACCCCAGUAGUC